AGAGUGAACGCUGGCGGUAGGCCUAACACAUGCAAGUCGAACGGCAGCACAGUGGUAGCAAUACCAUGGGUGGCGAGUGGCGGACGGGUGAGGAAUACAUCGGAAUCUACCUUUUCGUGGGGGAUAACGUAGGGAAACUUACGCUAAUACCACAUACGCCCUUCGGGGGAAAGCCGGGGAUCGCAAGACCUGGCGCGGAUAGAUGAGCCGAUGUCGGAUUAGCUAGUUGGUGAGGUAAUGGCUCACCAAGGCGACGAUCCGUAGCUGGUCUGAGAGGAUGAUCAGCCACACUGGAACUGAGACACGGUCCAGACUCCGUACGGGAGCAGCAGUGGGGAAUAGUUGGACAA
rnacentral:rRNA from 1 species